CAGCAGCCGCGGGAAUACGAAGGGGGCUAGCGUUGCUCGGAAUGACUGGGCGUAAAGGGCGCGUAGGCGGUUGGUACAGUCAGAUGUGAAAUUCCUGGGCUUAACCUGGGGGCUGCAUUUGAUACGUGCUGGCUUGAGUGGGGAAGAGGGUUGUGGAAUUCCCAGUGUAGAGGUGAAAUUCGUAGAUAUUGGGAAGAACACCGGUGGCGAAGGCGGCAACCUGGUCCUUGACUGACGCUGAGGCGCGAAAGCGUGGGGAGCAAACAGGAUUAGAUACCCCUGUAGUCCCUGUCUCUUAUAC
rnacentral:rRNA from 1 species